UACAGAGGUCUCGAGCGUUAGGCGGAAUCACUGGGCUUAAAGCGUGUGUAGGUGGAUGCCUAAGUACCUUGUGAAAUCCCACAGCUUAACUGUGGAACUGCUUGGUAUACUGGGGUGUCUUGAGUCACUCAGGGGCGAGCGGAACAAAUGGUGGAGCGGUGAAAUGCGUAGAUAUCAUUUGGAACGCCAAUGGUGAAAACAGCUCGCUGGGGGGUGUCCUGACGGCUGAGGCGGCGAAAAGCCCAGGGGGAGCGAACGGGG
rnacentral:rRNA from 1 species